rfam:Exophiala mesophila strain CBS 40295 unplaced genomic scaffold supercont1.3, whole genome shotgun sequence.
GCCCGCUUGGCCCAGGGGUAAGGCGUGUCACUCGUACCAGCCUUCAACCAGAAGUUUCAUAGGGAUGACAAGAUCACAGGUUCGAAUCCUGUAGCGGGCA